rnacentral:rRNA from 1 species
UACGAAGGGGGCUAGCGUUGCUCGGAAUCACUGGGCGUAAAGGGUGCGUAGGCGGGUCUUUUAAGUCAGGGGUGAAAUCCUGGAGCUCAACUCCAGAACUGCCUUUGAUACUGAGGGUCUUGAGUUCGGGAGAGGUGAGUGGAACUGCGAGUGUAGAGGUGAAAUUCGUAGAUAUUCGCAAGAACACCAGUGGCGAAGGCGGCUCACUGGCCCGAUACUGACACUGAGGCACGAAAGCGUGGGGAGCAAACAGG